CUAACUACGUGCCAGCAGCCGCGGUAAUACGUAGGUGGCAAGCGUUGUCCGGAAUUAUUGGGCGUAAAGCGCGCGCAGGCGGUUUCUUAAGUCUGAUGUGAAAGCCCCCGGCUCAACCGGGGAGGGUCAUUGGAAACUGGGGAACUUGAGUGCAGAAGAGGAGAGUGGAAUUCCACGUGUAGCGGUGAAAUGCGUAGAGAUGUGGAGGAACACCAGUGGCGAAGGCGACUCUCUGGUCUGUAACUGACGCUGAGGCGCGAAAGCGUGGGGAGCGAACAGGAUUAGAUACCCUGGUAGUCCACGCCGUAAACGAUGAGUGCUAAGUGUUAGAGGGUUUCCGCCCUUUAGUGCUGCAGCAAACGCAUUAAGCACUCCGCCUGGGGAGUACGGUCGCAAGACU
rnacentral:rRNA from 1 species